rnacentral:rRNA from 1 species
UACGUAGGGUGCGAGCGUUAAUCGGAAUUACUGGGCGUAAAGCGUGCGCAGGCGGCUUUGCAAGACAGAUGUGAAAUCCCCGGGCUUAACCUGGGAAUGGCAUUGGUGACUGCACGGCUAGAGUGUGUCAGAGGGGGGUAGAAUUCCACGUGUAGCAGUGAAAUGCGUAGAGAUUUGGAGGAAUACCAGUGGCGAAGGCGGCCCCCUGGCACAACACUGACGCUCAGGUGCGAAAGCGUGGGGAGCAAACAGG